rnacentral:miRNA from 1 species
UGAGGACCAGUAGAAUGCUGUAG